GACGAACGCUGGCGGCGUGCUUAACACAUGCAAGUCGAACGAAGUGCUUAAGACAGAUUCCUUCGGGAUGAAGAUUUAAGUAUCUUAGUGGCAAACGGGUGAGUAACGCGUGAGAAACCUGCCUCGUACAAAGGGAUAGCCUCGAGAAAUCGGGAUUAAUACCUUAUGAUACAUAUUAUACGCAUGUAUGAUAUGUUAAAGCGUAAAGCGGUAUGAGAUGGUCUCGCGUCUGAUUAGCUAGUUGGUGAGGUAACGGCCCACCAAGGCGACGAUCAGUAACCGGUCUGAGAGGAUGAACGGUCACACUGGGACUGAGACACGGCCCAGACUCCUACGGGAGGCAGCAGUGGGGAAUAUUGCACAAUGGAGGAAACUCUGAUGCAGCGACGCCGCGUGGAUGAUGAAGGCUUUCGAGUCGUAAAAUCCUGUCCUUAGGGAAGAUAAUGACGGUACCUAAGGAGGAAGCCCCGGCUAACUACGUGCCAGCAGCCGCGGUAAUACGUAGGGGGCGAGCGUUGUCCGGAUUUAUUGGGCGUAAAGGGUUCGCAGGCGGUUAUUUAAGUCAGAUGUUAAAGACUACAGCUCAACUGUAGAAAGCAUUUGAAACUGGGUAACUUGAGUCAAGGAGAGGAAAGUGGAAUUCCUAGUGUAGCGGUGAAAUGCGUAGAUAUUAGGAGGAAUACCAGUGGCGAAGGCGACUUUCUGGACUUGUACUGACGCUGAGGAACGAAAGCAUGGGGAGCAAACAGG
rnacentral:rRNA from 1 species